CCCUCUGGGAUCUGCAGUCGU
rnacentral:miRNA from 1 species